GCAAAGAGCAAGACAAAACACAGAAACAUCCAGACUUGUAUUUAGGAAUAUGUUUCCUGCACUCAAGUACAAUUCAUCACAGGGACCAUAAUAAAAGUAGAGAGUCAGGCCAGAUAUUCAUAAAGAAAACUUCCAGGCGGUCCCAGAGAGAUACCAGGA
rnacentral:lncRNA from 1 species